GCCGGGUGUGGUGGCACACACUUGUAGUCCCAGCUACUUGGGAGGCUGAGGCAGGAGAAUUGCUUGAACCCAGGAGGUGGAGGUUGCAGUGAGGCGAGAUCGCACCACUGCACUCCAGCCUGGGUGACAGAGCAAGACUCUGUCUCAA
ensembl:misc_RNA Metazoa_SRP Metazoan signal recognition particle RNA